GGAGUUAGCCGGUGCUUCUUCUGUGAGUGAUGUCCUUCCUGCCGGUUAUUGACCCGCAGGCCUUCUUCCUCACUGAAAGUGCUUUACAACCCGAAGGCCUUCUUCACACACGCGGCAUGGCUGGAUCAGGGUUGCCCCCAUUGUCCAAUAUUCCCCACUGCUGCCUCCCGUAGGAGUCUGGGCCGUGUCUCAGUCCCAGUGUGGCUGAUCAUCCUCUCAGACCAGCUACGGAUCGUCGCCUUGGUGAGCCGUUACCUCACCAACCAGCUAAUCCGACAUAGGCUCAUCCGAUAGCGCGAGGCCCGAAGGUCCCCCGCUUUCCCCCGUAGGGCGUAUGCGGUAUUAGCCUGGGUUUCCCCAGGUUAUCCCCCACUACCGGGCAGAUUCCUAUGCAUUACUCACCCGUCCGCCGCUCGCCACCAGGGAGCAAGCUCCCCGUGCUGCCGCUCGACUUGCAUGUGUAGCUCGCCGCCACGCGUCAUCUGAGCGAGAAUACGAACCGUACGA
rnacentral:rRNA from 1 species